GAGCCUGGGGUGACGCUGCUCCUUCCCGUCUUCCCUUCCUGCUGACACUCCUGUCACGGGGGUCUGCGUGACAGGGUUUCAUCACACACGACCUGAGCUAAAAACAGGAUCCUCCUGUGGCCAGAAAUGGGCCCCAGGCCAGUGGCCGUGGGGCCUGAGCCUGCUGCAGAGUGGCUCAUAGCACAGCACAGUGUCAACAGCCUCCCAGGCCCAGGCCCGUGCGCUUGCUGACCCCGGCCAGAAGCUUUUCCCGUUUGGUAGGCAGCGCCUGGGGUGGGAGAUCAAAGCCACGCGAGGGUCACCAGGAACAAAGGGCUCGGGGAGCCGGGCUGGUCCAGCUUCCAACUCCAGGGCCGCCUGCACCACUCGGGCCUCCUGGCCACCUGUGACAAGAAGGUCCCUUCCCUGUCUCCCCCUCCCCUCAGGCCUUGCGGUGCAGGGAGGGUCGGCCUCUGCUGGACAUUCCGGCUGGAGAGGGAAUCCUGGCUCCCUGCUGAAGACUCCCCGAGGGCCCUGAGCUGGAGAGGGGGCCGAGGCUGGAGGUGUUGUGGAAGACGCAGGAGGAGAGGGAACUUGGAUGUCCCUGGGGCUGGUGGACGUGGUCCUCACUGGGCCCACAUCUGGGCCACUCCUGGCUGAGAGCCGAGGGUGCCAUUAACUCCCAACAGAGUGCCAACCAGGCCCGAGAGGGGAGGCCCCCCGGAGAGCGUCCCCACAGCCCAAGGCUCAGCCUCAACCUCAGGAGGACCUGUCACACCCCCAGCCUGUGCGCUGGCCGAGGAGCAGAGGGCCCCCCGCGGCCCCUGGCCAGGCCUGCUUUGCCUGUGCUCUAGGGGCCAGUCAGGAUCAAAGCACAUUCCAAGGCUCUGUGCAAUCCUUUCAGAUAAGAAGUCCAGUUGGGGUUUUGAGCCGAAUUCUUUGUGCUGCCAAAGCAUUCCUGAGAGUCUGCACCCGCGCAGAGCCUGGCUUCUGGAGUGUGCUGCUGACCAUAACUGGGCGGGAAGCUCCCUGGGGAACGGGCUCAGGAUGGCCCAUUCACGCCUCCAUUCAUACCCAGCCCAGAGCUUGCUGGGCCGCUGCCUUGCGCCGAGGACACAGGGUGACCUCCAUCCAGAGCAGCCAACCCCUUGAGGGUAUGGCCAGAUGAGCUGAGUGGUGGUCAGGACUGUGGGGACAAGUCAGGCCAUCCCCCGCCGGGGGUCAGAGGUCCAGAGUUAGGAGGUGGAGAGCUCGGUCACGGCCUCCCCAGCAGGGGCAGGAGGAGCGUGGCCGGUACCCAGGCUCAAGGCAGGGGAAGGCCCACUGGGAAGGGGCCAGGGCAGUGGGGAUGGGGGUGGUGGGCUGGGGCAGGAGGGUGACAGCGAUGACCAACCCUGCAGAGGAUUGGAAGCAGGCUGCGGCCCUGGGCUGCCGGGGUGGGGGCACCUCUCGGCCGAGAUGCACUGUCUCUCAGGAUAGUUCCCAACACCUGAGCUCACUCUGACUGCGGCCAAGCCUCUGAGGAGCCUUUUCAGUCCCUCAGGCUGGCAGGUACUGGGUGACAAGGUGAAAGGCAGGGGACCUGGGUCACGUCUUAGAGUCACCUGGUCACCUGAGCAGGCCCCUUGGCCUGAGCCUCAGUAGGCAGGAGCCUGUGUUGGUAAGUGGGCUUCUCCAUGAGCCCUCGGAGAGUGAGAGGGUGGAGGCCACGUGGAUGGGGAGGCUGGGGUGCUGGCCACCCCAAAGGCACAUGGCCAGUGGACAGCAGAGGUCCAAUGGGGGUCUCAGGUCCUCAACUUUGUGAAGAUACUCCUUGGUCUCCUAGAGGAGAGGGAGGGCCAGGAGUGGUUGGGUUGGGACCAGGCGAGAGGACCCUGUGCCUCUAGCCCCCACCAGGCCACGCUGCCUGUGCGCUGAAGCCCAGGGCAGCAGGAGGGAGGCCACUGCCCGUCGUGGGCAGAACAGCCUGCUUCCUGGCCAAGUUCUCACCAGAGCCCACCAGGAGGCCCAACAGGGAUGAACAAGCGGGGCCACCUGCCAAUCAUCUGCACUUUGUCCCAGCCUCCUGGUCCCCAGGUUUCCAGGUCUUUCUGAGCUACCUGCCACCACUCAGGCGUCAUCGCACGGCCAAGUCUCUGGCCACGUCUCCUUCCACAGGAAGUCGAUGAGAGAGGUCCCACUGCAGGCAGUGUCUUUCAGGGCCACCAAAGUUGUGGAGCUCAAGCAGAGUUUGUGCUGUGGCCUGUGCAGUAUCCAAAGCCACCGGCAGCCAGCGGUGGGGCUGGUGGCAUUUACACAUACAGAGAACAUAGAAUGUGUGUAAAAACUCAAGCCCGGGAGUGUGCAGAGAGUCUCGGCUCCCCUGGGGCCUGGCCCUUCGUUGAGCUCCUUUUCUGUUUGGUGGCACUUUUCUAAUUCUGCAGGGAGCCCCUCCAGCAGCAGCAGCAGAGAAACAAGCCACCUUAACCCCGAGACCGAAGCUCUGCUGGGGCUGCUCCUCAAGGAAACCGUCGAGGAACAUCUACGUGUUCGAGGUGCGGACAUUAAUCACCAACGUGGGGACAGUGACAUGGGUGUAGGAGAGCCAACAGCCACGGCUCCACUGCAAGAGGACUGCUGGGGAUGCCGCUUUCAAGGACACCAGUGCAGGGCUCUGUGCAGCGGCGGGUACUGAAUGCACAUUGCAAACCCCAAGAGCCACACACGAGUGACAGGCACAUCAGGUGUCAAGAGGGAAUCAAGCCCAUUGGUGGCCACCUCCCUUUGAUGUUUGUCCUGCAGAUGGUGGACGCUGGGUAAGGCAUGGGGACUUCUCUUUAUGAACUGUGAAACACCUGAUGUGUGGUCAUGACCGCUAUAAACUCAGUAAGAAAAUGUCAACGCUAAAAUUUUUUUGGUGUGGUACUGGAGGUUGAGCUACAUCCUUGACCCUUCAUACUUUUGACUUUGAGACAGGGUCUUGUUAAGUUGUAGAGGCUGACCUUGUACUCAUGAUCCUCCAGCCUCAGCCUCCCAAGUUGCUGGGAUUACAUGUCUGCACCACCAUGCCCAGCUAAAUUUUGUUGAUUUGAUGGUGGUAAGAAGAAGACAAAUUUGAGAGGAUCCUGACACCAUGGCAAAAAACACAGUGUUUUGACUGAAUUAAGAAACCCAGCAUUGAGAACUGGAUAUGGCACACGCAGUUCCCACUUGACACCAGCCAAGAGUAAGGGCGUCUUUGCCAGAUGUGCGGCUGUUUUGCUCUGUACACGGAGUAGCUGGCUACAGGCAGGUGUCAGAGGGGAUGUGUAAUUAAGGGAGCGAACCUGCAGCCCACUCGGGCGCUUUCCUUUGUGACUGCUGCAGAACUUCCUUGUAAUUCUCAGUGUCCUAUAAUGACACUAAACAUUUUUGAAAAUGAGCCUCUAAACCCGGUUGCACUUUAAAAUCGCUUGGUGGUUUGUGAUUAACUACUUGACAAAGAGGGUGCCAAAGCACCCAGGCUUCGGCUCUCAGGUCCGUGGCGUGCAAAGGCGCCUAGCUGGAGCUCAGCCCACGGAGCCGGGGGAGCGGACGCGCUGGACCACAGGGGUGCGGCUGGCAGGAGACUAACUCUGGGGCGUCCUGUCCUCUGGAAAAUCCUCACAUGAAGGAAGAAUGUUUUUCUGUUUUUUUUUUUAUGUUAAGUAGAUAAAUUUAUAUUUGGAAACUGGAUGAAACAGAUUCAAG
rnacentral:lncRNA from 1 species